rnacentral:rRNA from 1 species
UACGUAGGGUGCAAGCGUUAAUCGGAAUUACUGGGCGUAAAGCGUGCGCAGGCGGUUAUGUAAGACAGAUGUGAAAUGCCCGGGCUUAACCUGGGAACUGCAUUUGUGACUGCAUGGCUAGAGUUUGGCAGAGGGGGGUAGAAUUCCACGUGUAGCGGUGAAAUGCGUAGAUAUGUGGAGGAACGCCGAUGGCGAAGGCAGCCCCCUGGGUCAAGACUGACGCUCAUGCACGAAAGCGUGGGGAGCAAACAGG